GCCUCCUCCCUGGGGUGUGAGCAGGUCGGCAUGACACACUUCUCCAGACGCGCGCCCAGGGACGAGCUGGCGGAGGGGCCCAGGCAGUUCCAGCUGCGGCACUCCAGUGGAAGUGGUUGGCACUGAGCCUGGAGGCCGAAGGAGGGGGGCAACACUCCUGCCGCGAUUCGGAGGAGAGCUACACUAGGCCAGCCUAACGACACUCGGAGUGCGAGCUGCGGCUGGGGUAGGGGCAGCCCCUUCCAGUGGGCGUGUGGGUCACCUAGGAGCAGUUCUCGGGGACCCGUUGCAUCCGAGGGACUGGGCGGGGUUGGGCGGGGCUGGACGCGGGCAGCGCUCAGGAGUCCUGGAACUCGCUGGCCCUGCGGCCACGGGCAGAGGCGUGGUCCUGAGCCCCUGCGCGGUUUCUGGUGCGUAGAGACUUUAAAUCACUGCGCUUCGCAGUCAUCAUCACCCCAGCUUUUCUCGGCUGGAAUUCAGCCUCCAACUCAAGAUCACGGGAAAGACUACCUGAGAGGAGAAAAGCUUCUGUCCCUGUACCUUCUUCUGAGGGUGGUGAGGUUUGUUUAGGGUCGCAGAAUCAGGGAGGACUGACCCAGCCCUCACAGAGAAGAGGGCUGGAAAGUCCUGGAGAACCCGCAGAGCACGGGCCGCUGUCGCGGUUGGGAGGCGAGGGCGCAGCGCUGGGGUCCUAGAUUCCGAGACCCCUGAGGGUGGCUGUGUUGGUUUCUCCCAGGAGUCGGAGGCUCCCUGCUCUCCAGCCGCCCAGUGACCCAAGAUUAAUCUUCAGCACCACUUGGGGCGACCUUUUCAGUGCAAAGCUCUGAUUCUGUUUCUCAGGAUUCCUCCCCACCCCAUUCCGCCCGGGAAAAGCUGACAAGAACUUCAGGUGUAAGCCCUGAGUAGUGAGGACCAGUGGUCCCCGCGGAGAGCUGUGCCUGGAAGAGAAGGACGCUGGUGGGGCUGAGAUCAGAGCUGCCUUCUGGUCCCGUGGCCCCCAUGCUUCUGUCAUGGCUAACAGUUCUAGGGGCUGGAAUGGUCGUCCUGCACUUCGUGCAGAAACUCCUGUUCCCUUACUUUUGGGAUGACUUCUUAUUCCUGGUGAAGGUGGUGCUCGUUAUAAUUCGGCUGAAGAAGUACGAAAAGCGAGGGGAGCUGGUGACUGUACUGGAUAAAUUCUUGAGUCAUGCCAAAAGACAACCUCGGAAACCUUUCAUCAUCUAUGAGGGAGACAUCUACACCUAUCAGGAUGUAGACAAAAGGAGUAGCAGAGUGGCCCAUGUUUUCCUGAACCAUUCCUCUCUGAAAAAGGGGGACACCGUGGCUCUACUGAUGAGCAAUGAGCCGGACUUCGUUCACGUGUGGUUCGGCCUCGCCAAGCUGGGCUGCGUGGUGGCCUUUCUCAACUCCAACAUUCGCUCCAACUCCCUCCUGAAUUGCAUCCGCGCCUGUGGGCCCACAGCCCUAGUGGUGGGCGCAGAUUUGCUUGGAACUGUAGAAGAAAUCCUUCCAAGCCUCUCAGAAAAUAUCAGCGUUUGGGGGAUGAAAGAUUCAGUUCCACAAGGCAUAAUUUCACUCAAAGAAAAACUGAGCACCUCAUCUGAUGAGCCCGUGCCACGCAGCCGCCAUGUUGUCUCACUCCUCAAGUCUACUUGUCUUUACAUUUUUACCUCUGGAACAACAGGUCUACCAAAAGCAGCUGUGAUUAGUCAGCUGCAGGCUUUAAGGGGUUCUGCUGUCCUGUGGGCUUUUGGUUGUACUGCUGAUGACAUUGUUUAUAUAACCCUUCCUCUGUAUCAUAGUUCAGCAGCUAUCCUGGGAAUUUCUGGAUGUGUUGAGUUGGGUGCCACUUGUGUGUUAAAGAAGAAAUUCUCAGCAAGCCAGUUUUGGAAUGACUGCAAGAAGUAUGAUGUGACUGUGUUUCAGUAUAUUGGAGAACUUUGUCGCUACCUUUGCAAACAAUCUACGAGAGAAGGAGAAAGGGAUCAUAAGGUGCGUUUGGCAAUUGGAAACGGUAUGCGGAGUGAUGUAUGGAGAGAAUUUUUAGACAGAUUUGGAAAUAUAAAGGUGUGUGAACUUUAUGCAGCUACUGAAUCAAACAUAUCUUUCAUGAACUACACUGGGAAAAUUGGAGCAAUUGGGAGAGCAAAUUUCUUUCACAAACUUCUUUCCACUUUUGACUUAAUAAAGUAUGACUUUCAGAAAGAUGAACCCAUGAGAAAUGAACAGGGUUGGUGUAUUCAUGUGAAAAAAGGAGAACCUGGACUUCUCAUUUCUCGAGUGCAUGCAAAAAAUCCCUUCUUUGGCUAUGCUGGGCCUUACAAGCACACAAAAGACAAAUUGCUUUGUGAUGUUUUUAAGAAGGGAGAUGUUUACCUUAACACUGGAGACUUGAUAGUCCAGGAUCAGGACAAUUUCCUUUAUUUUUGGGACCGUACCGGAGACACUUUCAGAUGGAAAGGAGAAAAUGUCUCAACCACUGAGGUUGUUGAUGUUAUUGGAAUGUUGGAUUUCAUACAGGAAACAAACGUCUAUGGUGUGGCUAUAUCAGGUUAUGAAGGAAGAGCAGGAAUGGCUUCUAUUAUUUUAAAACCAAAUAAAUCUUUAGAUUUGGAAAAAGUUUAUGAACAAGUUGUAACAUCUUUACCAGCUUAUGCGUGUCCACGAUUUUUAAGAAUUCAGCAGUGUGAAGAUGAGGGAGAGGAGAAGAAUAUGAAAAAUGGAAUUCCUGCCAAAAUCCAAGUUGCCAGGACAAAAAAACAGGGGAAAAAGGACUGGGAUGGGAGGAGCAGCCAAGAGAUUUUAUAAGCCACAGUGUGCAUGAUGGAUGAGAACACAGGACACAUACCAGCGAAGGGCAGAAAAUGUUACUUAUCGACACUGGACUAAAAAAAGACUGUGUGCACAACCCAUAGAUAACCCAAGUCUUACUGAGAGAAAACAUCAGACAAAUCCUAAUUGAGAACAUUCUACAAAAUACCUGACCAGCACUCCUGAAAACCACCAAGGUCAGGAAAAACAAAAAAUGGUAACUAAAUGUAAUGUGAUGUCGUGAAUAGGGUUCUGGAUCAGGAAAGGACAUUAGGUAAAAACUAAGGAAAAUUGAAUAAAUAAUAAUGUAGUAAUAUUGCUCAUUAAUUUUCACAAAUAUAUCACCCUAAUUUAAGAUAUAAUAAUAGGAGAAACUGGGUGUUGGACAUAUAUAUGGGUGCCCUCUAUAUGACCCAAUUUUCCUGUAAAUAUAAAAGUAUCCUAAAAUAAAAUGUUUAUUUUAAAAAAAAUCCCCCCCUCCAAAAAAAUCCUGUGAAUCUGUUUAAUGUACUGCAGUAUGAACAUGAUUUCAGAGGGUGAACAGUUAAUAAAUGUUUUUAUGACAGCUCAAUAAAUCCAUCCCCUUCUCUAAGGUUUUCAGGUUUACUUUCUGGCACUACAAGAGAUACUCUAGGCUCAACUUGCUUACUACUUGCCCCAGUCCGGCCAUCAGCCAUUCCUGUUUCCUUUUAUUGGAGAAUAGAAGAAUCUAAGGACUGGGAUGUUACUGGUGUUUUGUUGCUUCUAGGCCCUGCCAGCUGGCUGACAGAUCAAGGAAAUAUACCUGUGACUUAUUAAGAAUGAAAAUGAGAAGAGGAGGUGGAGCAAGAUGGUCAAAUAGAACCAUUCACUGAUCAUCCUCCCCGCAGGAACACCAAAUUGAACAACUAUCUACAUAAUAAAGCACCUUCAUAAGAAGCAAAAAUCAGCCAACCACUGAGCUACCACCACAGUUGAUCUGAUAAUCCACAAGGCUCCUACGUGACUAACAGGCAACGGAAUCGCAUGGAAGAGUGUGCAAGGCAUUUAUCAAAGCCUUGAAGACAGGGGCCCUAACCAGUAGCUGGAGAAUAUUUUCAGAGUUCCCCCACGGAGAAGACUGCAAAAGCUGUUUUGAUACUUGACUUUUCUUGCCUGCUUUAUCACAACAUUUGAGAAACUACAAAUGGAGUCAAAGAAUCUUGUUUGGAGUCGGCUGAGUAAAUCCAGUAAUCCUCUAAUAAUAGUGAACUCAGGAUUAAUUUACAAUAGAGAGAAAUAACUCACCUAAAAUAUCACCUCUGACUGAAUAAUAUCAAUCAGGAUUAUUUUACAAUAUAGACAAAUAGUUUGCCUAGAAAUAUCACCUUUGACUGAAUAUAUCUUUGAAUUUUCAAUAUAGUAUCAUGAAGAUACAUUUGGUGUAACAACUCUUCAACAAAUAUUUAUAGUGUCAGGCAGUGUUCUAGGAGUUGUGACACAGAUGAGAACAAAAUAAACAAGUCUCUGCUUUCAUAAUGUAUACAAACGGUAACAAGUAUUAAGAAGGAGAAGAAAAAGGAGGCAGGAAAUAGGCCUAAAGUGGGAUUAUAGUGACAUUUUAUAUAAGGCAGUAAAGGUGGGCCUUUUUGAUUUGAGAUACAUAUUUGUGCACAGACAAAUGAGGUAGCAGAAGCUGUGUGGCUAUCUGGGAGAAGAGAGUUUCCAGGCAGAAAGAAUGGGAAGUACAAAGGAUGAGGAACAUUAAAGGGAAUACUGGGGCUUCAGUAGAGAGAGUCGUGGCAGAAAUUAGGAUCAGAGAGAUAAGACAUUGGAUUGUACUUUUUAAGGUAAAAAUUUACAUGUAAUAAAAUGCAUCUCUUAAAGUA